rnacentral:rRNA from 1 species
UACGUAGGGUGCAGGCGUUAAUCGGAAUUACUGGGCGUAAAGCGUGCGCAGGCGGUCUGCUAAGACAGGUGUGAAAUCCCCGGGCUUAACCUGGGAACUGCGCUUGUUACUGGCAGGCUGGAGUGUGGCAGAGGGGGGUGGAAUUCCACGUGUAGCAGUGAAAUGCGUAGAGAUGUGGAGGAACACCGAUGGCGAAGGCAGCCCCCUGGGCUAACACUGACGCUCAUGGACGAAAGCUAGGGGAGCGAAAGGG